CAAAUCAAACCGGUUGUGUCUUACAGCACCAGUGACAAACAAAAUGUGUGCUACCUAUAGGAGCUUACAAAUGUUAUGUGAGGGUAAAUAGCCAAGAUAAAGAAAAAUGUUUGAAGCAAAAGAAGAAGGCAGGAAAAGGGAAACAGAAGGAGUUGGCAUGACCUCUCGGACAGUUUAAUAGGAUGAUUUUUGCAGUAGUAUCUCCUGGUGAAUACUGGCAUUGGGAUAAUAUAUGGUCUAAACCAAGAAAAAGUCACUUUUUGCAAGAGAGCCUGAUACAAAGUCUUAAGUAAACGUGCCUCACAAAGAAUCCAGAAGUCAUAGGAAACACAUUAAUGAGUACUCUAAAUUUAGGGUGAGGGCAAGGAAAAAGAUCUGUUUUGAAUUUAAGUGUAUACAUUUGUCCACAAGGAUUGAAAAAUUGGUUACUAGGUCUCAUUUUUAGCUUCCUGUGAGAUCUUUAAAAGGAGGUACCAGAGUAAGGCUGAGAUAGAUAGCUGGAGAAGAACGGGGCAAAAAAGGCUGAAGUUAAUUUAUCAUGCAUCUAUUCUUUCUUUGUGACCUAAUGGAUACAGAAUAUUUCUUAGUCACAGAUGUGUUGACUUCCAAAGGUCCCUUCUAACCAUCCAGUCCUACCUUCAGCUUGAAGCAAGGUUGUUUUCAACACCAGUGUUUCAGAGUGAGUUCCCAGCCUCCCCACCUGCCAAAUAAAUCCUGAAGAAACGUCAUAUCUGGAGUGUCUGUUUCCUGCUAAGCAAUGCCCUGUGACCCUUACAGCAGGAGUCUCUUUCCCUUCAGUCUGACUCUGUGACUUUGUGUCUUCUCUCCGUGAGAGUCGAGUGCUGCUCCCUUGGAAGGUCUUGGACUGAAACACCAGGGAUCAAAGGCAAGUUGUUGUGUAUGAAUAGAGGACAUGUCCUCAAACAGAAUACAGAAGGAGGACAAAAUAGACACUUAGUAUUUUUACCUCCAUAUCGACAGCAGAAUAACAAACAAUACUUUAACUCCAUUUUUUAAUGUUGAGGCAAGGAUGCUUCUUCAAGUUGAUCCUAAAUUUCCCUCUACUGUGGUGAGUGGAAGUUUUGUUUCUUUUGUUUCUUUAGUGAGU
rnacentral:lncRNA from 1 species